GCAGUGGGGAAUAUUGGACAAUGGGCGCAAGCCUGAUCCAGCAAUGCCGCGUGAGUGAUGAAGGCCUUAGGGUUGUAAAGCUCUUUCGCACGCGACGAUGAUGACGGUAGCGUGAGAAGAAGCCCCGGCUAACUUCGUGCCAGCAGCCGCGGUAAUACGAAGGGGGCUAGCGUUGUUCGGAAUUAUUGGGCGUAAAGGGCGCGUAGGCGGCCUGUUUAGUCAGAAGUGAAAGCCCCGGGCUCAACCUGGGAACCGCUUUUGAUACUGGCAGGCUUGAGUUCCGGAGAGGAUGGUGGAAUUCCCAGUGUAGAGGUGAAAUUCGUAGAUAUUGGGAAGAACACCGGUGGCGAAGGCGGCCAUCUGGACGGACACUGACGGUGAGGCGCGAAAGCGUGGGGAGCAAAC
rnacentral:rRNA from 1 species